rnacentral:rRNA from 1 species
UACGUAGGGUGCAGGCGUUAAUCGGAAUUACUGGGCGUAAAGCGUGCGCAGGCGGUUUCUUAAGUCAGAUGUGAAAGCCCCGGGCUUAACCUGGGAACUGCGUUUGAAACUGGGAGACUUGAGUGUGGCAGAGGGGGGUGGAAUUCCACGUGUAGCAGUGAAAUGCGUAGAGAUGCGGAGGAACACCGAUGGCGAAGGCAGCCCCCUGGGCUAGCACUGACGCUCAGGCACGAAAGCGUGGGGAGCAAACAGG